rnacentral:rRNA from 1 species
AGAGUUUGAUCAUGGCUCAGAUUGAACGCUGGCGGCAGGCCUAACACAUGCAAGUCGAACGGUAACAGGAAGAAGCUUGCUUCUUUGCUGACGAGUGGCGGACGGGUGAGUAAUGUCUGGGAAACUGCCUGAUGGAGGGGGAUAACUACUGGAAACGGUAGCUAAUACCGCAUAACGUCGCAAGACCAAAGAGGGGGACCUUCGGGCCUCUUGCCAUCGGAUGUGCCCAGAUGGGAUUAGCUAGUAGGUGGGGUAACGGCUCACCUAGGCGACGAUCCCUAGCUGGUCUGAGAGGAUGACCAGCCACACUGGAACUGAGACACGGUCCAGACUCCUACGGGAGGCAGCAGUGGGGAAUAUUGCACAAUGGGCGCAAGCCUGAUGCAGCCAUGCCGCGUGUAUGAAGAAGGCCUUCGGGUUGUAAAGUACUUUCAGCGGGGAGGAAGGGAGUAAAGUUAAUACCUUUGCUCAUUGACGUUACCCGCAGAAGAAGCACCGGCUAACUCCGUGCCAGCAGCCGCGGUAAUACGGAGGGUGCAAGCGUUAAUCGGAAUUACUGGGCGUAAAGCGCACGCAGGCGGUUUGUUAAGUCAGAUGUGAAAUCCCCGGGCUCAACCUGGGAACUGCAUCUGAUACUGGCAAGCUUGAGUCUCGUAGAGGGGGGUAGAAUUCCAGGUGUAGCGGUGAAAUGCGUAGAGAUCUGGAGGAAUACCGGUGGCGAAGGCGGCCCCCUGGACGAAGACUGACGCUCAGGUGCGAAAGCGUGGGGAGCAAACAGGAUUAGAUACCCUGGUAGUCCACGCCGUAAACGAUGUCGACUUGGAGGUUGUGCCCUUGAGGCGUGGCUUCCGGAGCUAACGCGUUAAGUCGACCGCCUGGGGAGUACGGCCGCAAGGUUAAAACUCAAAUGAAUUGACGGGGGCCCGCACAAGCGGUGGAGCAUGUGGUUUAAUUCGAUGCAACGCGAAGAACCUUACCUGGUCUUGACAUCCACGGAAGUUUUCAGAGAUGAGAAUGUGCCUUCGGGAACCGUGAGACAGGUGCUGCAUGGCUGUCGUCAGCUCGUGUUGUGAAAUGUUGGGUUAAGUCCCGCAACGAGCGCAACCCUUAUCCUUUGUUGCCAGCGGUCCGGCCGGGAACUCAAAGGAGACUGCCAGUGAUAAACUGGAGGAAGGUGGGGAUGACGUCAAGUCAUCAUGGCCC